rnacentral:ncRNA from 1 species
CUUAUCAAGAGUGGUGGAGGGAACGGCCCUGUGAAGCCCGGCAACCUGCGUCAUGCGCAAGGUGCCAAAUCCGGCGGUGAGACGAAAGAUGAG